UACGGAGGGUGCGAGCGUUGUCCGGAAUCACUGGGCGUAAAGGGCGCGUAGGCGGCGCGGGCAGUCAACGGUGAAAGCUCAGGCUCAACUCUGAGUCGGCCGUCGAUACUCCCGCGCUCGAGCCUCACUAGAGGCAGAUGGAAUUCCGGGUGUAGCGGUGGAAUGCGUAGAGAUCCGGAAGAACACCGGUGGCGAAGGCGGUCUGCUGGGGUGAGGCUGGACGCUGAGGCGCGACAGCGUGGGGGAGCAAACAGG
rnacentral:rRNA from 1 species